UUUUUUCUUUUUUUUUUUUCGAGAUAGUAUGGUAAAGAAGGAGGAGGAGGAGCAGAAGGGGCAGGAAGGAAAGGAGGAAGAGACGAACUUCAUUGCCUACUAUGGGCAGUUGGGUAUGAGAUAGCUCUGAGGGAGUUUCAUACAGUGUGGAAGUCGGUAAAUGUUUUCUUGUAAGUCCAAGAGCAGAUUAUAUAGGGUACAGCAAGCUGAUGAACCUUGUUAUUGGUUUUGAAUAGGGCAAAGAGAAUACAGUCACUGGUAACCUGUGGGAUCAGAAAAUGCCUGCUUUCUUACCCCUGCCUAUUGUUCAUUCUCCUCUGCAUAUAACUAAUGGAUUGUUCUCCUUUUUAUGACCUAAAAAACCUACCAUGCCAAUUUUUGUGUACAUCUGGAACAAGGGUUAUAUAAAUAUUAUUAUGACUAGGAAUAAAUUGCUCAAUAAUAGAUGAAUAAAAAUACCAAAAUAGGAUUGAUUCAACCUUUAACUUUUUUUUAAGUCUCUAAUGUGACUUUUCAUGGCAUCUAGUCCCAUCCUAGUUGUCAUAACUUUGACAAAUCUGCACGUGAGGACUAUGAAAAGAGGUGAGUUGUUAUUACAUGUGAACAAGUAUCCGACUAUCUAUGCAAAGGUUUACAGAAUCACCCACCCAUGGUAAUUUUCCAUCCUUCAACAAUUUUAAAAGCAAUUCAUAGGGAAAAAUGGAGGUCACCUAAUAUGUGGGAGACAUUAUGACUAUAUAAGAAAAUGUUCCAUUAACUUGGAUUAGGGACUACACCUUUUAAAAUCAUUGAUCCAUAAUAAAAAAAAAAAUCACACUUGCAUAAACAUUAUCCCUCAAAACUCAAACAGUGAAAUCAGAAAAUAAUUUAAAACUUUUUCAUUCAAUAUUAAGCCUAAAUCUCAAUUUUAAAGUAACUUCUUAAAAUAUUAUCAGAAACUAAUUUUUACACUGUUUCAGUUCCAUUGGUUGUUUAUAAAGUUUCAUACCUCAUUGGAAAAAUGCAUUUUUAUUUUAAAAAUUAUGUAUUUUAAAAUUUUAAAAUAAUUUUAAAAUAAUUUUAAAAUUAUGUAUUUUAUGUAUUAUGUAUUAUGUAUUAUGUAUUUUAAAAUUAUGUAUUUUAAAAAUUAUGUAUUUUUACUCAUCUGUUACAUGAGCAAAUAUAUUUGUAAAGUAAUUUUCUUAUGCUGUUAUUUAUAAUUAAUGAAAAAUAGGAAAUAAGUGAAGAGGUACAGAAGAAUAGAGAAAUAAAUUACUACAUAAAUCUAUAAAUGAAAUAUCAUAGGUUUCAACAAAAUUAUAUCUGGGAGUUGGGGGUUAUUGUUUUUCUGCAUUUGCCAAGUUGUCUGUAGUCACAAAAAUUAUAAAAUGAUAAAUGACUUUCUUAUAAACACAUUUAUACAUUUAUAAACAUAUUUGUUAUAUUAUUAUGUUAAUCAUUUUACUCAUUCUAAGGGAUUUUGACAACUACAUAAAGUUCAUGUGAGGUGAAGAUAUUAUAUGGAUAGGAUACAUUUAUAAUCAAUUAUAAUAGUUCUAAGAUACACACUAUUAUUUGUAAGAAAAUAGUGAAAAAUUGAAAAAAAUUAGCAUAGUAUCAAGAUAGUUAUAAUUUUUAUUCACAAACUGUUUCUUCUGCAGAGUUAAUGUUUCAAAAUCAUAACAUUUUUGAACUGUAUGAAGUGGUAAGAUUUUCAUUUAACAAAGCCAUAAUGAACUUCUCUAAGUUAAUCAAAAAAUAUUUCUUAAAUUAUAACCAUUCAGGAGUUCCUGAACUCAUGUGUAAGGCUCAGAAAUGGUAGAUGUUUCUAGGACAUAGUUUAAAAAAAAUGAAACUGGUAAUUGAGAUUGUGUAGACAGAUUCAAAAUCAUAUCUGGAAAAUUAAUUUUCCUGACCUAAGAAUUAAAUAUAUAUAUUUUAACAGAAUCCAGUACCUUUCUAAAGCAUUUAACUUGUCCCAUUAUAGGACACUAAGCCAAACAGUCCUCCAGGGGAGAUUGCUUUAUGCCUCUACAUGGAAUCAAGUUAAUAAUUUACUCCUUUUUGUUAGCUCCACAGGCAUGAUCCCAUGUAGACAGAUGUGUAAUAUGUUUUUGUAUUUACAGCUUCUAUUAACUUUUUCCAAUUUUCCAAAGAUGCAAUGUUCUACUUUCCAUACUAAAUAUUACUGUAUAAUUUCCCUACACAAAUUACUUUAGAGAGUAUUAUUUCCAAGUUUAAAAAGUGCAAUUAUUUUGCAAAUUAUAUAAUAAAAUUUUUCAACCUUUUAAACUAAUUAUUUUACAUAGACCUCUAUUAUUCAUAUAAUGUACCACCUUUAGGAAAAAUACGUCAGGAACAAAAUAAUUUACAGCUUCUAUUAACUUUUUCUUGGCCUUUGUUCUGUAGAUGGUAGCCAAUAAUGUGAUAAAUAAAAUGUGAGACACAAAAAGGAAAAUGAAAAAUUAUUUAAAAAGCAGAUAUAUAUUUUUCACUAUUGUGGGGUGGUAUUAAUGCCUAAUAAAAAUAAAUUUAAAAACCAUAGAAAUUACAAUUAAUUAUCCACAGAGCCACUCUACAAAAAGGGAAUGACCAGUAAACAAGAAUACUCUUCUAUAUGAGGAAUAGCCAGUUGGAAAAUAAUGUAAUAAAACACAUGGUAAGAAAAAUAUAAAAACGAGCCAAGAAACUUAUAGAAAUUAUACAAAAAUUCAAAUAUGUAUUAGAAAUAUAAGAUAAAAUUAGAAUAAGAAAAAAUGAUAUAGUUACAUGGAGAAAGAAUUGAUAUUCUAAAGAUGGCAAUUAUUUAUAAACAUAAUGGUAAGUCUCUUGAGAACUCCAAAUGGAUUGGGUAUGAUAAGGGACCAGUUUGAAUAAAGAAAAAGGAAACUUGAUAAAGACUCUACAUUUAAUCUGGAAAAAUAAAACAGACAAAAUUGUUAAGAAAAUACUUAAAAACAGUGACCAGUGGAAGAUUAUUUGCAAAUAUGGUUGCAAUAAUUCCUUCUAUUCUCAUAUGCAUUUUGCCUUAUGACUUUGCCAGUU
rnacentral:lncRNA from 1 species